CUGGUUACUCCUUCUCAACCUUUGCUGGAUGCCACAGCUUCCUGAACUGUAAAUGGGAGACCUCAUCCUUGCUCCAUCUACACCCCAUUUGGUCUGUGGCUUUAUACACCGUCUGUUUGCUGAUAGCCUUGGCCUCUGCCCUGAAGACUUCACCCUGUCAACAUAUCCUCCUAGAUGUCUAAUGAGCAGGAUUUCUACUCUGGAGGCCCUAUUUCUAGUCUAAAAGAUCUACAAGUCAAAGGUCAGAAAGGAAUCUUUCCUGUAAACAUCCUCUGGGCCACUCCCGGAAAAGACUCCAUAAAUGACUCCCUUCCCUGGCUUUGGUGUCUCAAGAAAUGUCUUCAGACUCUACCUGCAGAAUCACCCCUGGAGAUUCCUUCAUGAAGGAAAACCUCCUGGUAAGUUUCUCCCAAACCACUGCAUGUGCGUUAGAUUUUACUGACUGCUGGAUCUGUCAUCCUCUGCCAGAUGCCUCUGACCAUGAUUUGACCACCAUUUCCUCUAACCUUACUGAGAAGUCAAUCAGAAACAACAGAGGAUAUCCCCAGCUCCUGUAUCUUUCGCAAAAAAAUCUGUUAACGUCUCCAGAUAUUUUCCCUACCCCCGGUUUCUUAACUAAGCCAUUUCCUCUGAUAGGUAAAUGCCACCCAGCUGACAGUGUGGACAAAUGGGGCAGCUUGUACUGACUGCCCUCAGGCAAAAAUAAACAAAUGAAACUACAUCAAACUAAAAAGCUUUUGCACAAAGGAAACUGUCAACAAAAUGAAAAGGCAGCCUACUGAAGAUAUUUACAAAUGAUAUAUCCAAUAAGAGGUUAAUUUCCAACAUAAACCAAAAACUCAGUCAACUCAACAUCAAAAACAAACAGCCUGAUUAAAAUAUGAGCCGAGGACCUGAAUAGACAUUUUUCUGAAGAAUAUAUACAGACAGACAACAGACACAUGAAAAGAUGUCAACAUCACUAAUCACCAGGGAAAUGCAAAUUAAAACCACAGUGAGAUGCCACCACUCACCUGUCAGAACGACUACCUGCAAAAAGACAACAAAUAACAAAUGUUGGUGAGGAUGUGGAGAAAAGGGAACCCUCAUGCACUGUCAGUGAGAUUGUAAAUUCCAUAGCAGCCACUGUGGAAAACAGUAUAGAAGCUCCUCAAAAAAUUAGAAAUACAAUUACCGUAUGAUUGAACAAUUUCACUUCUGGGUAUUUACCCAAAGAAAACAAAGACACUAAUUUGAGAAGAUAUACACACUCUAAUGUUCAUAGCAACAUUAUUUACAAUAGCCAAGACAUAGAAGCAGCCAAAGACUCCACUGAUAGAUGAAUGGAUAAAGAUGAUGUGGUAUAUGUACAGUGGAAUAUUACUCAGCCACACAAAAGAGAAAGCUUGCCAUUUGUAACAACAUGGAUGGAUCUAGAGGGUAUUAUGCUAAGUGAAAUAAGUCACACAGAGAAAGACAAAUACCAUAUAAUCUCACUUACAUGCGGAAUCUAAAAAAACAAACUAACUAACAAAAUGAAAAGAGACUCAUAGGUACAGAGAACAAACGGGUGGUUGCCAGAGGGGAGGGCCAUGGUGGAGGGGUGAAAUAGGUGAAGGCAAUUAAGAGGUACAAACCUCCAGUUAUAAAAUAAGCCAUGAGGAUGUAAAUUACAGCAUAAGAAAUAUGAUCAAUAAUAUUGUAAUAGUUUUGUGUGGGGACAGAUGGUUACAGGUGUUCAUUUCAUAAUAUAUGAAAAUGUCAAAUCAAUAUGUAGUA